GACGAACGCUGGCGGCGUGCUUAACACAUGCAAGUCGAGCGGAAAGGCCCUGCUUUUGUGGGGUGCUCGAGUGGCGAACGGGUGAGUAACACGUGAGUAACCUGCCCUUGACUUUGGGAUAACUUCAGGAAACUGGGGCUAAUACCGGAUAGGAGCUCCUGCUGCAUGGUGGGGGUUGGAAAGUUUCGGCGGUUGGGGAUGGACUCGCGGCUUAUCAGCUUGUUGGUGGGGUAGUGGCUUACCAAGGCUUUGAAGGGUAGCCGGCCUGAGAGGGUGACCGGCCACAUUGGGACUGAGAUACGGCCCAGACUCCUACGGGAGGCAGCAGUGGGGAAUAUUGCACAAUGGGCGGAAGCCUGAUGCAGCAACGCCGCGUGCGGGAUGACGGCCUUCGGGUUGUAAACCGCUUUCGCCUGUGACGAAGCGUGAGUGACGGUAAUGGGUAAAGAAGCACCGGCUAACUACGUG
rnacentral:rRNA from 1 species